AACAUUUGUUUACAGUGAUAAUGUUCCAGAUUGAUCUCUAAUGAGGUUGUGUAGGCAGUAAAAAAGUGGCUCAUUUGGUUUCAGAUCUCUAAUCUGAUUUUAAAUAUAAAAGUUUUGGCUCUCUAGUAGAGGUGUGCGUUUUUAUGCACACUUGCCUGUUUUGUGUACACAUGUUUGUGCGUUCGAGGUGACGAGUGUCUUCCCGGUGUGGUGGGAAGUGACACUUGUAUGAGUGUGCUAUAAUUACUCAGUUUUUUUCUCUUCUGAGCCAGCACUGAGACCCAAGGGGGAAGAGAUUAGUAUUCCCUGUCUCCCAGUCCCGUGCUGAUAAGUCUUUUCCAAAAUAGGAGUGAUCUCACCCCUCUCUUUCUGUCUUCCUCUUCUCCUUUGUUUAGUCUGUUUUGUUUUUUUUACUUCAUUCUUACUGUUUAAACACGGGACUGGCACAGCUGGUGGAGAAAACAGGAAUGAAUGUAAGCACGUAAAGCAAUGUAUGUGUGUGUGUGUGUGUGUGUGUGUGUAUACGAGUGAUUAAUACCCGGAGUUCGGGGAUCUCCAUUCAGGACAUGUUCUCAUGGUUUGCUCAUGAGGUCAUUGGGAAAGAUCCUCAUGUAACAUGGAGCUAGUUUUAACUGACACCAAGAACCAGACUAAAGGUGAAUGGCAGUGCACUUAUCAAUUCCUCCACAGAGCGUGACCUUCUUUUGUUUGAAAAUACCUGCACUGUAAAUGAUUAGGAGAAACUCAUCAAGGCCUUUUUUUAAGUCUCUCACCUCAUUAGUGUGUACAGAUGUGUCUCUGUGUGUGAGAAGCUGUAGAUGUACACUGGUUUAUGACUUACACCCUUUAUUUAAAGAUGGCCGUCCUCAUCAGCUGGCGGCAAUGUUCCUUCUAAUUUUUGUUACUGCUGACCACAACUUAUUUUUAUUGGGCGUGUCCACCUUAACAGAGAUAUAUAAUGUCUAGAUUAUGAAUUAGAUUAUUAAACCGUCAUAGAAUACACAUUUAUAAUUGUCAAUGAUGUACAUUUAUAGACUUAUACAAUUUACAUUUAAACAGAUGUAUUAGUGUGUGUGUGUGUGUGUGUGUGUGCGUGUGUGUGUGUUAAAUACACAAUUAAUUUGGUUUAUUAAUCUGACUUUAAUAUCAAUUAAUAAAAUAGCAUUUAUUUUAUUUUUGUUAUUUGUGUGUUUUAGAUGAAUUUACAUGAUCAAAUGCAUAGUUAGUUAAAACCAGAUAAAUAAAUUAUUCUGUAUGCAAUAUGAAUUUAAAUUUUGACUUAAUUUUAUUAUUAAUUAUUACUAAUUUGGACUUCUAAAAUAUGUUAAUGUUAAUAUUUAAAAAAUGUAUUUUCUGUCUUGUUUUCCUCAGGAAAUUGUCAAUGUCAAGAUAAGUUUUGUCAGGUUCAUAAAACACACACAAAACUGAUGCAUUGCCUCUGUAGAUGACUGAAAUUCUCUAGUAAUGCAGUUUUUAUCUUGUGAAUUAGUCAGCCCUGAAUAUUUACACUUCUGUACUAAAAAACUGUGGACUUGAUUUUGAAAUGAACUCUGAAUUAUAAAAUAUCAAGGUUAGUCUCUCUUUUUAUUUAUUUUUUAAAGUCUAGAAUCUUAUGGAUUUUUUUCCCAUUUGCAUGGGAGCAACAUCAGAAGUGUGUGACCAUGCACAUGCACAGCUUAGAGGGAACAUUGGCUGGCAGCUUUAGAAGGGACCUGAGGUCAGAGGUCACCUGUGACUCAAGGCUUGAGGAAUUCAGUCUCAAGGAAAUGAAUAGCAUGGGGGAAAAAAAUAAGAGACAGAAAUUGUAACGGCUACAGGAAAUAAAAGCUCAUUAGAAUGUUAUCCAGAAUAUAACUGAGAAUUAUUAACUGUUUUAUAGAGGGAUGAGAAGUACAGGGAAGCUGGAACCUGUUUACCUCCAAAAGAUACCCAUGUUAUUCAUUGGGAAACACAGAGACACAAAUUCUUUCACCUUCCUGCAUGCUGAUCCCAUGGUUCUUUUUGUAUGAUGUUCACUGAUGUUCACUAGUGUUUGUAAGAGGUUUUUCAGUUAUACGUUUUAAUAAAUUUCACUAAGGCUGAUCAGUGUUCUCACUAGUGUAUGUAAGAGGCCUUCCAUGAAUGCAUAUGAAUGAAUUUCACUAAGGUUUUUCAGUGUUAUCACUAGUGCUUGUAAGAGGUUUUUCAGUAAUGUGUAUGAAUGAAUUUCACUAAGUUUUUAGGUUUAUCAGUGUUAUCACUAGUGUUUAUUACGAGGUUUUUCAGUAAUGCUUGUGAAUGAAUUUCACUAAGGUUGAUCAGUGUUAUCACUAGUGUUUAUUACGAGGUUUUUCAGUAAUGCUUGUGAAUGAAUUUCUCUAAGGUUGAUCAGUGUUAUCACUGGUGUAUGUAAGAGGUUUUCAGUAAUGCACAAGAAUGAAUUUCUCUAAGGUUGAUCAGUGUUUUCACUAGUGUAUGUAAGAGGUUUUUUUAGUAAUGCACAAGAAUGAAUUUCUCUAAGGUUUAUCAGUGUUUUCACAAGUGUAUGUAAAAGGCUUUUCAUGAAUGCGUAUGAAUGAAUUUCACUAAGGUUGAUAAGUGUUAUCACCAGUGUAUGUAUGUAAAAGGCUUUUCAUGAAUGCACAUGAAUGAACUUCACUGAGGUUUAUCAGUGUUUUCACUAGUGUUUAUUACGAGGUUUUUCAGUAACGUGUAAGAAUGAAUUUCACUGAGGUUUAUCAGUGUUUUCAUUUGUAAGAGGUUUUCAUGAAUGCAUAAGAAUGAAUUUCACUGAGGUUUAUCAGUGUUUUCACUAGUGUUUGUAAGAGGUUUUUCAUGAAUGUAUAUGAAUGAAUUUCACUGAGGUUUAUCAGUGUUUUCACUAGUGUUUGUAAGAGGUUUUUCAUGAAUGCGUAUGAAUGAAUUUCACUAAGGUUUAUCUGUGUUUUCACUAGUGUAUGUGAGAGGUUUUCAUGAAUGCGUAUGAAUGAAUUUCAUUAAGGUUUAUCAGUGUUUUCAGUAGUGUAUGUGAGAGGUUUUCAGUAAUGCAUAUGAAUGAAUUUCAUUUCAGUAGUGUUUGUAAGAGGCUUUUCAAUAAUUCUGGCCUAUACGGCCCCUCUUACUUCUGGGUAAGAUUUAGUCACCUCUCCAAAGAUUACAGUUUGUAAAACACAAGUGUUGACAGGUAAUUCAGUUAAUGGUGUUACAAGGCCUCAAUCUGUUCUUUGCAUCCAUUAUACUGGUUCAACUUACACUCAAAAAUGCUGCUUCCUCCAUUUAUUUGGUUAAAAGGAGUGAAUGCAACACAAAUUGUAAAGUUAAUUUCAAUACAUUUUAUAAAAUUACUUAAUUAGUUUGCAACAGGACCACAUGGAUCAUUUUUAUGCACUCAGGCAGGGGAUUUCCAAUUCCUAGCAUGCUUUGCAUGGAACGGAAUGGGAAGAUUAAAGGUUAGAAUUAAGUGUUUAGCCUAUUUUAUGCAUUUUUGAACAAGAUAAGAAAAGGAGGGAAACUUUAUUUGUGUCUAAUGUUCCAUUAUGUUGGGAUUUAAAGUUUUUAUUACAUUAUGUUGUAGGUUUAUGGGUUACCUUGUGUUUAGAUUAAAUAUGUGCUAUUGAAAGUUAUUUUGAUGUAUUUAAUGCUAAGUUUAUUAAGAAAACCCAUUUCUGUCCACAUUUGAAUUAAUAUUAGCCAAAGUAUUGUUGUUUUGAGUGUACUCGCAUGCUAAUAUGUUUAGCUAAUCACAGUCUUUCUCCCGCCGCCAUGCCUCACUCUUCAAGUGUGUCAGCCUGUCAUCUGUUCUUGUCGGGAUAGCUUCUGUUGCUCUUUUUUUCCCUUUAAUUUUUCUCGUUGGAUCUUGUUGACGUUAGCAAAGAUUUCAAGCACGCUGAGUCAGAAGCGUGCGUGGUCAAACAGGCCUUGAGCUGAGAUAGCCUGUGCUGUCUUUAUCUAGAUUUCAUAUCAUCGAUGACCGGCAUCUUGAUCAUCCUGUUCUUGAGGAUCAUCAUCCUUCCCUGCAUGUGUUUGAAUCAUCUCCCAUUUCCUGUUGCUGAUGUCACUCAGUAGGGAGAUGGACAGACACACAGGAGCCAGUAUACUAAUGAAAUGACCUCAGAUACCCCUGUCCGCUCACCUGUGCUUUAUCACUGAGGUAACGUAUCCUCAGCAUCACUUAAAUAUGACUAAUCAAUACCAAUCAAUAUAGCAAACCUUGAUAACUUUGUUAGCUUGAUGCACUCAUCCUAGAUAAGAGUUAAACAGGCAUUGUGGGAAGACUUGGUCUCGAUCUGCUGACAUACACACAUUAAGUGCAUUUGCACAAUGUGUAUUGGUGCAAAUUAAGAGUCUUGUCAGUUUAGAAAGUUUUUAUUAUUAUUAUUAUUAUUAUUAUUGAACUGAUUUUAACUGAUACUUAAAAAUUGUAUGAUACAAUAUGAUAUGAAAUACAAAUAACUUGUGCUUGGAUUUAUAAUGUAUAGAUUAAAACAUGUAGAGUAUACAUUACUAAUUCACUCUAGAUUUGUAUUUAAUUUAAUAUCAUUUAUAUAUAAUUGCUAUAUUAAAAUGUUUAAUACAAAAGGUAACAUUUUUAAAAACAAAAACAAAUGUUAGACUAAGAAACUAAGAAAGCUGUUACAUGAUCAGAUUUGAGAAACAAUGACGCAUGGCUUUCCUGUAAAUCCUGCUUAAAUGAAACAACUGAUAUGACAAAGAAAAUCUUUUAUUGAUUAUUGAUAACAUACAGUUUUUAACAAUAGUUAAUUACUGACCUGUUAUUUCUCUUCCAAUAUUUUAAUGAAUGCACAUCAGUUGGUUGUAUGUUGUGCAAGGUGAAGUCUUUUAAUUCAUAAGAAAAAUCAUAAAGGAAAUUUAGAACUUGCCAGUGGGUAAAUAUAUGAAAAGUUAGAAACUGAAAUUAUGAUGCAAUUACUGCAAAAUAAGUCAGCACUGUAGAGUGCGCAGAACAGUGUUACACACUUUACAUUUAAUCCAAAAAUGAAGAAAAAUUACUUGUAAUUAUACUACACAUAGUAUGCACUGUAAACUAAAUAUUUUUUUACAAUAUACAUAGUGUGCACUGUACACUAGAGAUUUAUUCACAAUAAACAUUGUGUGCACUGCACACUAGAAAUGUAUUCACAAUAAACAGUGUGCACUGUACAUUGGAAGUAUGUUUGCAAUGUUUGCACAUUUUAGCAUUUAUUUCACCGUUUAAAUAAAAAAAUCUUAUCCCACCUUCAUUUAGAGAUUUUCUUCUAAUUAACACACAUUUAACAGUGCAAAAAUACACUUUUUUUUACAUAUCUGAAAAGUAAAUAAUUUAGGUUGCCCAGUUGAUAAUUUGACUUCAAAUUUGAAUGUACUUUUUUAAUCAUCCAAGGGUUACACAGUAGCAGCCGUAAUAAAGUUUUUUUUUUUUUUUUUACUCACACAAAAGGGACAGAAGCAACUUUAGCAUUAGUUAUUUGUCAAUUAUUUUUUUUAAUUACUUGCAUGAACAAUUCAUUACAAAUGUAUUUAUACAGUUAGUGUAUAGUGAGGGAAAUAUCUGUCUGGAAAUAGGUUUUGGAGUGACUAUUCAUUUAUAUAAUUUAAGUUAGCAAGAUAUACAGUUUUAACACAUUUCAUACAGAUUUUUUUUAAUCAGAUUUUAUACAGGUUUUUUUUAUUAUUCUAUUUAGUAGAAAACAAAUGCAACAAAAAAAAUACAUUCCAUCUCUCUGCAGCAUUUAAUUGUCGUAACAUCUCAAAACGGAUUUUCCUUCCUACUCAGAUAUGAACUAUAAUUCAGGUUCUGACUCUAUAAGUGGUUUUUCUUCUGAUAACCCCAUGAUAUAUACUUUCAGCAGAAGUAAUGCUUUCCCACCAUAAAAGAUGUUUUCACUCCAAAACCAUGCCAGAUA